rnacentral:rRNA from 1 species
ACGGGGUGCAGCAGGCGCGAAAACUUUGCAAUGUGCGAAAGCCACGACAAGGUUAAUCCGAGUGAUUUGUGCUAAACGAAUCUUUUGUUAGUUCUAGAAAUACUAACGAAUAAGGGGUGGGCAAGUUCUGGUGUCAGCCGCCGCGGUAAAACCAGCACCUCAAGUGGUCAGGAUGAUUAUUGGGCCUAAAGCAUCCGUAGCCGGCUCAGUAAGUUUUCGGUUAAAUCUGUACGCUUAACGUACAGGCUGCCGGGAAUACUGCAGAGCUAGGGAGUGGGAGAGGUAGACGGUACUCGGGAGGAAGUGGUAAAAUGCUUUGAUCUUUCGAUGACCACCUGUGGCGAAGGCGGUCUACCAGAACACGUCCGACGGUGAGGGAUGAAAGCUGGGGGAGCAAACCGGAUUAGAUACCCGGGUAGUCCCAGCUGUAAACUAUGCAAACUCAGUGAUGCAUUGGCUUGUGGCCAAUGCAGUGUUGCAGGGAAGCCGUUAAGUUUGCCGCCUGGGAAGUACGUACGCAAGUA